GCGGAGGAAAAGAAACCAACAGGGAUUGCCCUAGUAACGGCGAGUGAAGCGGCAUCAGCUCAAAUUUGAAAUCUGGCUCUUUCAGGGUCCGAGUUGUAAUUUGCAGAGGGCGCUUUGGCGUUGGCAGCGGUCCAAGUUCCUUGGAACAGGACGUCACAGAGGGUGAGAAUCCCGUACGUGGUCGCUGGCCUUCGCCGUGUAAAGCCCCUUCGACGAGUCGAGUUGUUUGGGAAUGCAGCUCUAAAUGGGAGGUAAAUUUCUUCUAAAGCUAAAUACUGGCCAGAGACCGAUAGCGCACAAGUAGAGUGAUCGAAAGAUGAAAAGCACUUUGGAAAGAGAGUCAAAUAGCACGUGAAAUUGUUGAAAGGGAAGCGCUUGCAGCCAGACUUGCCUGUAGUUGCUCAUCCGGGCUUUUGCCCGGUGCACUCUUCUGCGGGCAGGCCAGCAUCAGUCUGGGCGGUUGGAUAAAGGCCUCUGUCAUGUACCUCCUCUCGGGGAGGCCUUAUAGGGGAGGCGUAAUGCAACCAGCCUGGACUGAGGUCCGCGCAUCUGCUAGGAUGCUGGCGUAAUGGCUGUAAGCGGCCCGUCUUGAAACACGGACCAAGGAGUCUAACAUCUAUGCGAGUGUUUGGGUGUCAAGCCCGAGCGCGUAAUGAAAGUGAACGGAGGUGGGAUCCCUUUAGGGUGCACCAUCGACCGAUCCUGAUGUCUUCGGAUGGAUUUGAGUAAGAGCAUGGCUGUUGGGACCCGAAAGAUGGUGAACUAUGCUUGAAUAGGGUGAAGCCAGAGGAAACUCUGGUGGAGGCUCGCAGCGGUUCUGACGUGCAAAUCGAUCGUCAAAUUUGGGCAUAGGGGCGAAAGACUAAUCGAACUAUCUAGUAGCUGGUUCCUGCCGAAGUU
rnacentral:sRNA from 1 species